rnacentral:rRNA from 1 species
CUUGAGUUAUAGUGAAGUUGCCGGAAUAUGUAGUGUAGCGGUGAAAUGCAUAGAUAUUACAUAGAACACCGAUUGCGAAGGCAGGUGACUAACUGUAUACUGACGCUGAUGGACGAAAGCGUGGGGAGCGAACAGGAUUAGAUACCCUGGUAGUCCACGCCGUAAACGAUGGAUACUAGCUGUCCGGGUCCUUGAGACCUGGGCGGCCAAGCGAAAGUGAUAAGUAUCCCACCUGGGGAGUACGUUCGCAAGAAUGAAACUCAAAGGAAUUGACGGGGGCCCGCACAAGCGGUGGAGCAUGUGGUUUAAUUCGAUGAUACGCGAGGAACCUUACCAGGGCUUAAAUGCAUAUUGACAGGGGUAGAGAUACCUUUUCCUUCGGGCAAUUUGCAAGGUGCUGCAUGGUUGUCGUCAGCUCGUGCCGUGAGGUGUCAGGUUAAGUCCUAUAACGAGCGCAACCCCUACCGUUAGUUGCCAGCAUGUCAUGAUGGGGACUCUAACGGGACUGCCGGUGCAAACCGUGAGGAAGGUGGGGAUGACGUCAAAUCAUCACGGCCCUUACGUCCUGGGCCACACACGUGCUACAAUGGUAGGUACAGAGAGCAGCCAUGUCGCAAGGCAGAGGAAUCUAUAAAACCUAUCACAGUUCGGAUCGGAGUCUGCAACUC